AAAACCUAGACACAGUUUCCCUGAGAGUGUUUACUUCAAUUUUGUCCUGUUAGUCAGCACAUGUUUUUGUACCACUGUCUGUCGUCAUACUUAUUGAAACUAUGCCGAUCACUCAAGACCUUCUUCCAGACUCUUACUUUUCAUUCCCUGCUGUUUUUGUUGAAAACAUCAGAGAAUAGAGAGUCCUGAGCCCAUGCUAAGACUAAGAAGAAACAAUACUGUUUGGAAUGCCACGGCCUGCAAUCCUCAGAAUGACAUUUACACAUGUAACGGGUGCGUUAGGGCCCGCUUAGUAGGGGAAAUUAAUGUUACCUCGGAAGACUUUAGGAGGAAAGGAUCUUGGUCCCCCACCUCAGUGCUUUGAGUCUCAAGGUAUAGGUUAUGUAUACGUGUUACCUUACUCUGUUGUAUAAUAUACUAAAGGGACCAGAGAGUGUGGCUUCAGUUAAGUCUACAAAUACUUGUAUUAAUUUGGUGGCCGCCUGAAGUGUAAAUAUGUGAGGCAAUUUAACAAUACCAAUUCACAUUCCCACCACCCCAGUACCUAACAGAGCAAGUGAGACGCCCCUACUCCAAGGUAAGUUCAACAAUGAUAGUACUCUUGAGAUUUACUUUAACAUUCAAUCAGAUUUAAUUAUCUCCUUUUAAAAUGUUUUUUUCUUUUGCAGAGCAGGAAAAGAAGAUCAGAACAAUACAUGAAAAAUGUAAAAAAACAAAUAAAACAAUGUUGCUCAAAUAAAUUUGUCACUAUAAUCUUUACCCGUGGUGCACCACCAACUGUUUAACCAUAAAACUUGUGUUCACCUCUGGAAUAACAAUCAGUUCACAAAUGAUUCACUUCAAAUAAACUCUGAAAUAACUUGACUUAAUUCAAAUGAACUCUGAAAUGACUCUUGCGAUUCGACAGAUGAUUCAAUUUUCACAUCAAACCCAGUUCAGUUACCUAGUUCAAGUUCGCAGUUCAGUCUAUAUCAGUAAGAGUUCAUGUAUGUGUGCAAUGAACGUUGUACCAGUCUUUAGCGAUGAUGAAAUUGAAGAAAUUACUUGCGAUGACUUGAGAUGACCUGUAAUAGAGAAAUGAACAGCUGGGACAGGAAAGUAAGGAGAUGUCGUCAGGAUGGCAGGGUAAUAAUAAUAAAACUAGCAAAUUUCCAAAAAAAACCCUGGAA
ensembl:lncRNA